CAUUACAACAGCCAUAGUUUAUUGGAUGUUUACGUUCCUACAUGGACACCUGCGGUAAUUCUGGAGCUAAUACAUGCACAAGCCGACGACCUUACGGAAGUCGCGCAUUUGUUAGAUCAAACCAAUCGGUCCUCCGGGACCGUAAUUUGAUGACUCUGAACAACUUAGCUGACCGCACAGUCUCGUACUGGCGGCAUAUCUUUCAAGUGUCUGCCUUAUCAACUUUCGUUGGUAGUUUAUACGACUACCAAGGUUGUAACGGGUAACGGAGAAUAAGGGUUCGACUCCGGAGAGGGAGCCUGAGAAACGGCUACCACAUCCAAGGAAGGCAGCAGGCGCGCAAAUUACCCACUCGCAGAACGCGGAGGUAGUGACGAAAAAUAACGAGGUGGCUCUCUAUGAGGUCCAUCAUCGGAAUGGGUACAAUUUAAAUCCUUUAACGAGGAUCUAUUGGAGGGCAAGUCUGGUGCCAGCAGCCGCGGUAAUUCCAGCUCCAAUAGCGUAUACUAAAGUUGUUGCGGUUAAAAAGCUCGUAGUUGGAUCUGCGCUCUGUGAGAGCGGUCGCUCGCUGAGUUGUACUGUCUCUCACGGGCUAACCAUUCGGUUUUCCCUUGAUGCUCUUCAUUGAGUGUCCUGGGUGACCGAAACGUUUACUUUGAAAAAAUUAGAGUGCUCAAAGCAGGCGAUUUGCCCGAAUAUUCGUGCAUGGAAUAAUAAAAGAGGUCCUUGUAGCCUUUUAUUGGUUAUCGCUACGAGGAAAUGAUCGAAGGGGACAGACGGGGGCAUUUGUAUUGCGACGUUAGAGGUGAAAUUCUUGGAUCGUCGCAAGACAAACUACUGCGAAAGCAUUUGCCAAGAAUGUUUUCAUCAAUC
rnacentral:rRNA from 1 species